rnacentral:misc_RNA from 1 species
GAUGAAGAACGUAGUGAAAUGCGAUAAGUAAUGUGAAUUGCAGAAUUCAGUGAAUCAUCGAAUCUUUGAACGCACAUUGCGCCCGUCAGUAUUCUGGCGGGCAUGCCUGUUCGAGCGUCAUUUCAACCCUCAAGCCCCCGGGCUUGGUGUUGGGGAUCGGCGUGCCCUCGCGGCGCGCCGUCCCCUAAAUCUAGUGGCGGUCUCGCUGUAGCUUCCUCUGCGUAGUAGCAACACUCGCACUGGAUCGCAGCGCGGCCACGCCGUUAAACCCCCCACUUCUGAAAGUUUGACCUCGGAUCAGGUAGGAAUACCCGCUGAACUUAAGCAUAUCAAUAAGCGGAGGA